UACAGAGGGUGCAAGCGUUGUUCGGAAUUAUUGGGCGUAAAGAGCUCGUAGGCGGCUUGUCACGUCGGGUGUGAAAGCCCGGGGCUUAACCCCGGGUCUGCAUUCGAUACGGGCUAGCUAGAGUGUGGUAGGGGAGAUCGGAAUUCCUGGUGUAGCGGUGAAAUGCGCAGAUAUCAGGAGGAACACCGGUGGCGAAGGCGGAUCUCUGGGCCAUUACUGACGCUGAGGAGCGAAAGCGUGGGGAGCGAACAGG
rnacentral:rRNA from 1 species